UACAGAGGUCUCAAGCGUUGUUCGGAUUCAUUGGGCGUAAAGGGUGUGUAGGUGGCGCCGUUAGUCGGGUGUGAAAUUUCGGAGCUUAACUCCGAAACUGCAUUCGAUACUGCGGUGCCUGAGGACUGGAGAGGAGACUGGAAUUCAUGGUGUAGCAGUGAAAAUGCGUAGAGAUCAUGAGGAAGACCAGUGGCGAAGGCGGGUCUCUGGACAGUUCCUGACACUGAGGCACGAAGGCCAGGGGAGCAAAACGGG
rnacentral:rRNA from 1 species